UACAGGGGGUGCAAGCGUUAUCCGGAAUUAUUGGGCGUAAAGCGUCUGUAGGUGGUUUUUGAAGUCCACUGUCAAAUCCCAGAGCUCAACUUUGGACAGGCAGUGGAGAACUCAAAGGCUAGAGUUCGGUAGGGGUAGAGGGAAUUCCUAGUGGAACAGUGAAAUGUACAGAGAUUAGGAGGAACACCAGUGGCGAAAGCGCUCUACUGGGCCGAAACUGACACUGAGAGACGACAGCCGAGGGAGCGAA
rnacentral:rRNA from 1 species